CGGUCCGCCCUUGCUCGUCCAACUCAUCUUUAUCCCGAACAGAGCCUCCUCUCUUCUCUCUCCUUAUCCAUUUCUUCCCCAACCCGACCCCUCUUCUCUCCUAGGCGCCAUGGGGGAGCCCCCAUAGCUCCUUUCCCAUUUGGAGCCUCCACCCUCGCCGGAGCUUCGCCGAAGGUCGCCGUCGCCGAGCUCCACUACCUAGCCAUCAUCUUUUUCCCCGGGAUCGAAGUUUCCCCCAAGUUUCCUCAAGUUCUUCUUCCUCUACUUCAAGAAUAAGGUCAAGCCCGAGCUCAAGCUUCCCCAAGGCCGCUUUACUCCAACUUGUGGCACCUCACUGGAGCCCUAGCCAUCGCCGAGACCGAAGCACCAACUCAAGUGGAGGUUGAGACCGAGCCGGAGUCCGUCGUCGACGACACUUCUUUGAUGAACCAAGGUGAGCCUCAGCAGGAGCCCGUCUUUGGGUACUUCUACCCCGUGGACGGUGGAGCGGAUGAGAGCUGAAGGCCGGUGGUUGAAGUAGAGCACUAUCUCCAUAUAGUGUUCUCUUCUGGGUUGUAUCCGUAGAGACAUAAUUAAAUAUUUUCGCUGCAAAACUCUGAACUUGUAAUGUAGUCACUUGAAUCUAUUUAUGUAAGAGACUUCUAUGUAUGGAUAUGCUUGUAUGUGAUGAUGUUCUCAA